rnacentral:rRNA from 1 species
GACGAACGCUGGCGGCGCGCUUAACAUAUGCAAGUCGAACGGUGAACGGGGCUUCGGCCCCGGGAUCAGUGGCGAACGGGUGCGUACCACGUGGGCAACCUGCCCCAGACUCUGGGAUAACUCCGGGAAACCGGGGCUAAUACCGGAUACUCCGACCGAUCCGCAUGCUUCGGUCGGGAAAGCUCCGGCGGUCUGGGAUGGGCCCGCGGCCUAUCAGCUCGUUGGUGGGGUAACGGCCCACCAAGGCUUCGACGGGUAGCUGGUCUGAGAGGACGGCCAGCGACACUGGGACUGAGAUACGGCCCAGACUCCUACGGGAGGCAGCAGUGGGGAAUCUUGCUCAAUGGGCGAAAGCCUGACGCAGCGACGCCGCGUGGGGGACGAAGGCCCUCGGGUUGUAAACCCCUUUCGGCAGGGACGAAGCGAUCGUGACGGUACCUGCAGAAGAAGCUCCGGCUAACUACGUGCCAGCCGCCGCCGUAAGAC